rnacentral:rRNA from 1 species
UAUCCGGAAUCAUUGGGUUUAAAGGGUCCGUAGGCGGUUUAGUAAGUCAGUGGUGAAAGCCCAUCGCUCAACGGUGGAACGGCCAUUGAUACUGCUAGACUUGAAUUAUUAGGAAGUAACUAGAAUAUGUAGUGUAGCGGUGAAAUGCUUAGAGAUUACAUGGAAUACCAAUUGCGAAGGCAGGUUACUACUAAUGGAUCGACGCUGAUGGACGAAAGCGUGGGUAGCGAACAGGAUUAGAUACCCUGGUAGUCCACGCCGUAAACGAUGGAUACUAGCUGUUGGGUGCAAGUUCAGUGGCUAAGCGGAAGUGAUAAGUAUCCCACCUGGGGAGUACGUUCGCAAGAAUGAAACUCAAAGGAAUUGACGGGGGCCCGCACAAGCGGUAA